rnacentral:ncRNA from 1 species
CGGGGACUGCAGGCAGACUCCCCGCCCCAAGACGCCCUGGCGUCCAAGCUCUGC